GCCUGGGUGGCUCAGUCGGUUAAGCGUCCGACUUCGGCUCAGGUCAUGAUCUCGCGGUCCGUGGGUUCAAGCCCUGCUUCGGGCU
rnacentral:tRNA from 1 species